GGGUCUGUAGCAUACAUGGUGAAUGCGAUGGAUUGAAAACCCAUAGAGGCGGGAUCGUUACCCGCUGGGCCCAC
rnacentral:tRNA from 1 species